rnacentral:rRNA from 1 species
UAUGUGAUCGUCUCUCGCAUAUCAAUAAGCGGAGGAAAAGAAACUAACAAGGAUUCCCCUAGUAACGGCGAGUGAAGCGGGAAGAGCUCAAAUUUGAAAUCUUAAGGGGUUUCCCUUUACGAAUUGUAGUUUAAAGAAGUGUUUUCUGUUGAGGUUUUGGUAAAAGUUCUUUGGAAUAGGACAUCAUAGAGGGUGAGAAUCCCGUAUUUGACCUUUACUUUCAACUUUGUGAUACACUUUCAAAGAGUCGGAUUGUUUGGGAAUGCAGUCCAAAAUGGGUGGUAAAUUUCAUCUAAAGCUAAAUAUUGGCGAGAGACCGAUAGCGAACAAGUACCGUGAGGGAAAGAUGAAAAGAACUUUGAAAAGAGAGUUAAACAGUACGUGAAAUUGUCAAAAGGGAAGCGUUUGACACCAGUGUUGUUUUUCUGAAAAUCAAUUAAAGAACUGUUUAUGCUAAGUUGUUUAGACUUUAUCAGCUAACUGUUUAGUUUUGAGCUUUUCUUUAAUGCACUUUUCAGUUAACAAGUCAACAUCAAUUUCUUUUGCUGUAAAAAAGCUUGAGGAAGGUGGCUUGAGAUUCGUCUUAAGUGUUUAUAGCCUCUUGCCUAUGCAGUCGGAGAGAUUGAGGUCUGCAGCGUAGAUCCUUCGGGGCUAAAUGCAUUUGUGCUAAGUUAUAGCAUUUUAUAGACAACUUGUUGACUAUGAUUUGUCUUGUAGCUUACUCGCUUAUGUUAUUUUACCUACGCUUAGGAUGUUGAGUCGUAGAGCACGCAG